ensembl:lncRNA
AAAAUUGACAUUUGAUUUGACACGAAUCACGACAGCAAUGUCCUGAGUCUGGACGGCCCGCCGGAUGAACGGUCCUCGGGGCUUCUGCUUCUUUUAUACCCCCCCCCCUCCCGCCCUGUCGGCCGUACCGUCCGCCGGUCGGAUCGUCAGCCCCACCCCUCCAUAUGAUUUUAAUGGUCUGCCGUUCAAUCGAAGUGGGCAGUAUUUGGCCCCGAACCUGAAAUGAGUUUGACACCCCUGCUUUACUGGAUAUUUUGAAUCUGUCUUUAUUGAGGUAGCCAUAAGUAAUCCUCUUCUUAAGAAACCUACUCUUGCUCCAGAGGUGAUGACUAACUACAGACCUAUCUCUAAUCUUCCCUUCCUCUCCAAGAUCCUUGAGAAAUCCGUCGAAAAUUAAUAUCACUUUCUACAAAACAAUGCUUUGUUUGAGGAUUUCCAGUCAGGAUUUCGAGCGCAUUAUAGUACAGAAACAGCACUGGUGAAAAUUACGAAUGAUCUUCUACUUUCAUCGGACCAAAGACUCCUCUCUUUUCUUGAGUUGCUGGACCUCAGUGCCGCAUUUGAUACCAUAGACCAGCGGUUCCCAAACUCAAGAAUGCCGCGGCCCACUUUGAAAUCUUAAAAUUCUUUUGCGGCCCACCCAAACCUUUAAUAACAACUCUGAUCAAAACAUAAACUAGGGAUGAUUAAAUGACGCAGGCGCAUCAGAUUAUAAGGCGCAUAAGAUGCUGCAGUCAAACGCGUCGGGGCGGGUGGAUGAGGGGGAGGGGGGAUGUGGGGAGGUGGAGACGGUGCUUUCAAGGUCCGAUCGAUGCUGCGAGGUGCGUCCGCUCCCGCCGCCCCCCUCGCCAUCCACGCCUUAAAUCUUUGGCUGCUCUCCAAACUUUUCAAAAUUGAAAAUUAAAAACAUUUUAUUGAUUUAUUGUAAAUGACCUCUCGCGGCCCACCUGCAGUACCUUCGCGGCCCACAAAAGAGGAGCUUUGGCUCCCAUCCUACUUUUUAAAACCCUAAGAACAAGCUGUGGGACUCCGUGACCAACAUUGGUGGUCUUCGAGGAUUCACCGUUCACAAGCACAAACUGGGAUGGAUCCGAUGAAUAGGACAUAAACUAGCUGAGUGCAGUUCCUUUGAUACCUAUCAAAUGUUCUAGUCUGCAACAGGAUACAAUGGUCUAUGGCAGCGAUUCCCAAAGUGGGCCGCUGUUUGGGUUUGCUUUGUUUGGCCUCCUAACUGGGUCAAGACCUAUUUUAACUGUACGAGAGACAGGCCUUACUUAUUUGUUUGGAUCCUUUGUUAUUAGUCUGUUUGUAAAUUUGUUUUUUUCCUUAUUUUGUUAAUCUUUGGUUAAGCCGUUUGUCGGUAUUUUAUUAGUAUAUUUUUUGUUUAAAUGUAAUCUCUUUCUUUCUGUUUUGGUUGAGUUUGUUUUAUUUUAGACCUGUUGCCCUCCUCUUCCCCCCCCUUCAGGUGCUGAGUCUGCGGUGGUGGAUUGGUGUCCCAGGUGGUGUCCCUCUUAUGUUGUGUUUUUGCAUGUUUGAGUUUGCUUCACUUUUAGUUUCACGUGUGGUGCUCCUUGGGUCCCCUUUUCUUUGGACAGUCCAUCCUCGUAAGUCUCAGCCCUGAUUGGUUCCCCCGUUGCUGGUCCCAGAGUGAAGAGGUUUUUACCGUUGUUUUUAAACCGUGAAUUUAAUAAAAUUACAUUUUGUACUGUAAAUUGCGUCUUUGCCUCAUUUUGCAACGAACCUGAGUGCCUCCCCUUAGUUUUGUUUGGGUGAAGAUUUAAAACAUUCCCUGGGUGAAAUGCCCAGGGUGGCGUUGUCUGGCAACAUUAUAAUAUUUAAACUGCCCUCACCUAUACAUCACUCCCCAUUUUUUGGGGAGUUUUUCCUGCGCCGAUGUGUGGGUUUCGGGACAGAGGAUGUCGUAUGUGUACAGACUGUAAAGCCCUCUGAGGCAAAUUUGCGAUUUUGGGCUAUACAAAAUGUAUUGAAUUGAAAUUAGUUGAAUUAAAAGCUACCCAGAUCCUGCUUCAUAAAUGAUACUGAACAUAUAUUCAUCCCAAAACACAAUGUGUCAUUUCAGAAGGUGACAGGGAAAUCAACCAGGGUGAUCUGGGAUGGUGGGCCUGUGUUCCUUAUAUAACCAUAACCAUCUCUACUGUCUUUAGAGCUUCAGUUUGUUAUAUCCGCACCGCGCCACCAGUUGGUAAAUCUCCCACCUGUAGGCGGACAAUGAGGGUGGUAUCAUCAGCAAACUUUAGGAGGAAAACUAUGUCCACUUUUGCAGAUGUUAACAUAUUGUGCUAUAAUCUGGUAGAGGUUUAGAGCUGCAAAUGCAUAAAUCCAAAUGAAUAAUCAUCUUGCUCUAUAUUUAAGGAAAACCUGAAACCUUUUUAUUUGUGCAAUGUGCCAUCUUCAUUUUGUCUUAAAUUGCAUCAUAUAUACACUAAUAUGCACACAUCUGGAUAAAGCCUCACAAGUGUUCCCUUUAUCAUGACACCAAGAUAUUCCAAAUGGACCCUAUGGUUGCAGAGAUAUCCUACUUUUUAUCAUGGGUAUGCCAUUUUCGAGCAGGCCCUGAGCUUGGUUUCCAUGAGGUUAAACACUUUGUCAAAAACAAACUUGUUUUGGGGGAAAAUUUAUUCUAAACAUGAUAUCAACGGGGCACUUUGAUUGCACAGAACCAUAACUUUUAGGGAAGAAGGUUAAUUACAACACUAGAUGCUAUAUAUUCCACAAAGCAACCAAUAUCAACAUGGGGUCCUUACUGCCGCUGUAAUGUUUAUUAUCUUUUCAGUAGUAGUUCAGAGUGUUAGCAUGCUAUCAUCUGUUAAUAAGCAAUCAUAAGCUAUUAAUAAAAUAAAAGUAUUGGACAAACGCAAAAUGUUCAUUUGAUGAUUUGACUAAGUGACAAAUAUAAAGAUCAAAGUCGUCACACUGGCUGCACCACUGCUGGACUCCCAGCAGUGGUGCAGCCAACUCCCAUCUAGUAUACCUAGUUCCCUAGCCUUCUCCCUAGCAACCCAACCAAAGCUCUUUGAUGGCGCUUUAUCAUGUUCCCAGCACGGCUCAAUUGCGCGUAUUGUUGGAUGGUUGAUUUGUCCUUGUAGACUGGCCAAAUAUGUCAUCAUUAUCUGUGUCCUUCUCAACGCCAACGGCAUUUCCCCCAUUUCCACCUGCAAUGAUGUUGUUUUAAAGGCCCCACAACAUCGCCAUGAUGCUUUCGCCGGUAUUACAUCUAAUUUUACCCAACAUGGUUUUAGACGGCGACCUAUAAGCCACACACCCAUAGUCUAUUACUGAUCUAAUCAGUCCCAUUCAUAUAGCUUUUAAAGCAGCCCUGUCAGCUCCCCACUCUGUUCCCACCAAGCAUCUCAUUACAUUUAAAACCUUUUUACAUUUAUUAACCACUUUCUCAAUAUGUACCUUUCAGGUGAGCUUCGCAUCAAACCACAUUCAUAAAAAUUUAUACGAGUCCAUCCUUUUCAGCUCCUUCCCAUUUAAAUACAUUUUGCCCAUUGUCCCGAUUUUUUUUCUUGUAAAGAAAAAGCCUAAUUCCUUUUCGUUAUUACCUCACUGCACUCAUCAUUCCACCAUGGAACUAACUUCCGCCUCUUUGUACCGGUUUUCCUUGAAAUUGUCUGUUUGACAGCUCCAAUUAUUGCGUCUCACAUUUCUAUUAAAUAUUUCUAUAUCCUGAUCUCUAUCUAUAAAUUUAAACCUUGAUUCACAGAUUUCUCUAAAUGUAUCCUACUGAGCCUUUCCAAAUACCCAGCUUUCUGCUGGAUCUUCUGCCCCCACCCUGCAUCCUCUUCCUACUCCACAGAAAAUAGGGUAUUGAUCACUUCCAUAACAGUUGAAUGUUUCCUUACCUCCCACACACAAAUACCUGCCAAUGAGCGUGAUACUAUUUUCAGGUCUAAAAUUGACUCAUUACCUGAGUUGUAAUUAAUUCUUGUGAAACUCCCAUCAUUUAAACACACCUCUCCUGGCGUUUCCCUUUCCCUCGCUUCUAUACAGCCUUCCAGUCAAUUGGGCUAAUUGGGAGAAACCAACUGGCUGGGGGUUCUGUCAGGUCGAAUUGAACCUGCUGUAUCCUACACAGUUAUGAUAAUAAUUCAUACGUUCUUAUCAUAAUGCCAACACUGUUGUCAUGUGGAUGUGAACAAUUAUAUAAUCAAGUGCUGACAUUAAUGUACACAUUUUGGCGGUUACAUAUAACCCAAACAAGGGACAGGGCACAGAUGAACUAGCCCACUUGUCCGUCAAUUUGGGGAAAAGGCUCUUCCCUUUCACACUGUCUCUCCUGUCCAUGUCUGUACAGUGUUGCGAUGCAGAGAACAUCUGGAAAGCCGCUACUCUGUUCUGUUUAUUUGGCGUUUAAUAAACUUCUGGAUGUUCCAUGUUUCACUGAUCAAAUUUCUGAUGCUUAACAGAUAUAUGCUGUUUGGCCCAUUCAGAUUCACACACACACCCAUAUAAACAACUCCUUGUUCUAUAUGGUCAUUUACACAUAUAUACAGAUACACAUGAUACAUAAGCUGAUACAGCACAUAUAUCCUCAUAACUAUUCAUUUGCAUCAAUUUGAUUCUUGGGCUUGUUUUCAUCUACACAUUCUGAAAGAGUUGACAUCAUUAUUCUCAUUGGAUGAUGAUGCAUCCAUGAAGCCUCCUGUCAGCAGGCACAUUUAAAGUAAUAUAAUCUUAUUGAUCGAGUGAUGAGGCACUUAAAAUUAGCUUUUACAUUUUCCCAAUAUUGCGCAUUCAACUUGUCUGCGAUACUUUGUCUUUGCCUCGCGGGGGGUGACAGUUUUUGCCAUGAUUGUGUAAUUCAAUUAAUUUUAUUUUGUAUAGCACGCAAAUUUGCCUCAGAUGGCUUUACAGUCUGUGCACAUGUCACAUCCUAAAUGAAAAAGCAGUCGAUGGAGAUAAUAAAGAAACCUUUAGAGAGACAUAGGAGGACGGACAGACUGCGAUGGACAAUGUAAAAUAUGUACAAUAUGUUCAAUUCAUCCAACAGAAAUUAUUCAGAUAAACUCUCCUCAUGAUCAUCUCCUGCUCGUGAGCAGAGAAAAAAUACGCUCUUCCUUUAAGUUUAUUUGUCGUUGUACCGUUAAAAAAAUCUUGGUUUUGGUGAUCGACUCUUCUGACGUGGGGUGAUUAUCCUGAUGGUUCAAACUAAGGACACUGUUUGAUGGAAGAUCAGCCUUUGAGGAACCAAGACAGCCUGACAUCAAUCAUCUCGUUAAUUUGAGCUGGAUAAUUGGAAAUGUGAUUGACUUAGUUGAAACAUGUACGAGAAACAGGGCCCUGGUCAGCUCAAAUCAGUUUCAGCUACAUUGGUGUUGAUGAGAUUAACAAAAGGUGCACUAGAGGGUCAACAAUCAUACGACCCCCAAAGCAGGACUGGUUUUGCAUGUGGAGGCCAAUUCAUCUCUUUGACUGGUUUCCCACUAGCGUUGGCUUUAGCUAGAUUCAUUGUCACUACUGGGAGCAUGAGGCCAAUUCUUAACCCCACAGAAGUUGGACAGGUGGUCUAUCCAUGCGUGCCGUUGCAGAGAGAUUUUCCAGCACAAUCUCUAGAACAGGGUUGCCCAUUAGGUCGAUCGCAAUCGACCAGUCAGUCAUCCAGUAAAGUAAUGACCAACAAUGUGUGGAAUGGUUGUGACGGUUCCCUCCUUCUGACAGAUGUGAGGCUUGUUUCUUUUUUUUCUAUCCACUCGUUUUGCGCUGACUGUAUGCGGCGCUGUUGUUCCGUUUCCUGACAAUUACAAUUGAAUGGCCCUCAUAAUCACCUGACUUAAACCCGAUGGAACACCUCUGGGAGGUCCAUCAGACGUGACCAGGUUGCCUCUCAGACUUUAAAGGCGCUCACUAAUGCUCUUCUGCAAAUUUUCGCCACGGUUUACUCACGCAAGUAGUUGUAGUUAUUUUGUUUCAUUCGCGUCCCAUUUUUGUCCGCUUCAUUCAUUCUCCGUUACGUGUCUCUGUAAAGACAGUUAUAAUGAGUUCCACUAUCUACCAUGUAAUAAAUAACCACUAUUUGAUAUUUAUUUGUUUUGUGAAUUACACAAAACGUCGGAACCGCAAACGGUGUUGUGUUUGAGUUCAUGACGUCAUCCGUCGCCGCACACAGUUUGAAUUUCACCGACUGCUCCAGGAAGUGCGUCUGGAUGCGUCAGGCGGACCAGCAGCCGGUCUGAUGACCUGUUGUGUCGGAUCAGUGCAGCUCUCGGUUACACACCUGAUUCCUUUUGCUUAGUUGGUCCCUCAUGAACUUAUUCAACGAGAAAGAGGUGGGACGAGCAACCAAUAAAAAAAGUGUUAGACUUCACUUGAGUGUUUAUGUCGCUUUUAGAUGGAGUUCGAUGUUCGCUUCCUGUCUGACACCAAAAAUACACAAAACACUUUCAAUUUGUAUUACAUCCAAUGACAAACUUCAAACACGUCACAGUAUGCCGUUUAUCUCCAAUACGGUGCCUACCAAACUAUGGGCAUCUUGGGACCUUCAGCUGUAGGUAAAGUUGGAGCGGGCGGUGGACUACAGCAGGGCUCACCGGGACGUCUAGAUGAAUCGAAGAAGCAGGCGCUAUGGACAGCUCACAAUUAUUAAUUGAAUCAAAAGUGACUUGACAGAUGUUUUCCGUUUAAUUUAUGCAAAGUUCUUUGUGUAGUGGGACAAUGGUACCAAUACACACAUAGCAGUGUUGACCUCGUGUGUGAGCCCUGUGUCUGUACAUGUUGCAGUAACAGUCCAGCGUGAAUUGAGAGAGAACAUAAACAACAUCAAGUGAAACAAAAUGUUGGGCUGAAUCUAGGCCGAGCCGCUCCCACAGGAGCCCAGUGAGAAUGAUACCAUUCAACAAAGCACAGACAACACACAUCUGCACAACGCGUACUGUAUUCCUCCAGUAUGUUCAGUAUUCUGCACUCACAAGGAAUGCUUAACAACAGUGUUGUGCGUGAAUAAAAAAAAAGAAGCAAAGCACUGCCUCUGGCUUUAUGGAAUGUGUUUUUGGCUUGGUUUGUUGGUUUUCUUCAUUCAGGCUUUAAAACACACCACUAGCCCGGUUUUCCUGUUUUAGCGCUGCAGCACAGUCGAAGGAGGAACCUCUCGCGAUUUUGGAGCCAAUCUAAAUCAAAGUGGGGUACAUAAGCAUGUAUCCCUUACAGAAACGUCCCUGGGGAAGACCUGCGCUCUUUGGAGCCCUUUAAGACUAAAAUGUAUUUCAAAAGUAGAUCUCCUGUUGUCUUCCCUGCUGAAAAGGCUGGAAAUGCCUCAGUGUUUCACAAACGUCUUGUCGUCUCUGCUGGAGUCACAACACCACCACAUGUCUGGUUUUUAUUUGUGAGUGCAUACAAGUAUCAAGAGAUCUUUUAAAAUUUUCAAAACGCGCUCUUUUGAUUUAAAAUAGAUUUUCCACACCAAUACUGUCUUAUGUAAAUUAUACAAAUAGUUACAAAAGUUUUGUCUUUAAGCUUUUAGGUAUUAUGUAUAGGAAUCAUAAAGGCCAUAAUAAUGAAAAUGAGUUGUCCAUUUCAAAUGGGAAGGACCCCCCCAACCUGUUAAAUGGGGUUUGUUUUACUCGCUGUGUAAACGAAAUGUUGAUGGCUGCUGCACUGUGUACAAAGAAGGAACUGUAGAGCAGGUAUUUAAGAUGCUCCGGUGACUCCACUCUGGAUGAUGAUGUGCUUUUUCUUGUCAGAUUGCUGUGGAGAUGCCUGUGGUCACCAGAGGACGAAUGAUACAGAUUUGGCCCUUUGACACAACAGUCAGGCAGAUUGUUGUGCAGUAAAAGGACGAACCUGUUCUCUCUCAGACAUCCAACAACCUUUUCUCAAAAGCCAAUUGUCCACCUGUUUGAUCACCUGAGCUGGAAGGAACGUCACAGCUUCUAGCGCUGCCAUGGAAGAAAAUUGGUUCAAUCAUUUAAAACAGCCCUGCUUUUUUUACAUGCAUUUAAAUGUUGAUUAAAUUCACUAAGUGAUUCCCUUUGACUGAAUAGAUUUUAAAAAUGUACUUUGGCAAUUACUUACUCACGAUUGCACCCUCUUGUCUUUACUUCAAAAAGGGAUCAGAAUCAAUACAGCAGAACCAGAGCAAACUUUUCUUACAGGCAUUAAAGUCGACUAGGACAGUAAGGUGUUAUAUUUAAAGGGCUGUAGUCAAACAAAUACAAUCAAUCAAAGUUCUUCCGACUCAGACUGAUCAAUUUGUAAAUUUCAUCCAAAUAUGUAGAAAUAGGCCAACUCUGAUAUGUCUAAUUCUAUGAAGAAGGCAAGUGAUUUUUUUUAACCCUGACCUUAUUAAAGCAGGACAAGCGAUCAUCCCACCCAUGAGAAUUAAAGGGGACAGCGUUGGCCGACCAACUACUCGCCGGCCGCUAGCAGGGUGUUAUGAAGGUCGAGCAAUAUCCCGUCUUUCUGACUCCACUGUCACUCUGACAGUCAGACUUCAGAGGGUUUGCUUCCUGACAGUAAUACGCCACAGCGCCUGUGAACACUCAGAUGAGUACAACCAGUGCAGGUAAUCCUUAAGCAAGCGCUUCCUCACUGCAACAGCGACAACAAAGGUCCCCUAAUGUUAACAAUGCCAACACUCACCCGGGGGGCAUUGAGAAAUAUAUAUUAAAGUAGCCAGUCAACUUUUUUUUUAAUUACACAGUUAAUAUCAUUUUGUCUGAUGUAAACAUUAUUUGAAGGGUGUGAGUUUGCAGUGUUUUCUCUUUUCAUUGACUUAAUUGAUUAACAUUGAUUUGAUUCCAUGUGUUGUGUUAUGUGAAUAUGAGGUGUUUACACAAAACAAAUGAUAACCUGAACCUCAACUGAGAACUAAAGAAGGAGGCCUUUGAUAUCCGGUAGGACUCCGCAGUCAGCUGCAGUCUACCACAGUACACGGGCGCCACUAAGGCGUUUCUGGAAGACCAUCGGGACCCCAGGAGGGGGAAAACGGGGAAUCAUCCAAGCUGUCCACAGUAAGGAUCGGACCCUGUUGACCGCAACUAAGUGUCACAGGGGUGGGCGUGGAAGGCAGGACUCAAACCCAGACUUCGAGAAAACAAAAGACUUUAAUAGUCAAAAGGAAAAAUGGCCAAGGGGAAACAAACGCACACAGGAAGCAGGGACACACAGACAUGGACCUCCGACUGUUAACAAUGACGCGACAAGUGACAAGAGACACACAGGACUAAAUACACUAGGGAGGUGCAGGUGACUGGAAACAGGUGGAAACAAUCAGACAUUCACAGGGGAUGACAGGACAAGGCAGGAAGUGAAGUUACCUGGGGACACAAGAGGCAGAAAACUACAAAAUAAAACAGGACGUGAACCAAAACCGUGACACUAAGAUGGUUGUUGGAAGGAACACUGUUAGAAACUCCUGAAUCCAACUACUACGCCCUCUUUGGUAGAGGCGGAGCUGGAGGCGGAGGAGGGAUCAUCAUCAAUCUGCCUGGUGGAAGUCACUGAGGUAGUCAAACCACUCUGCAGCGGCACGGCCCCGGGGAUUGAAGAGAUCAGCCCGGAGAUGCUGAAAGCGAUGGGUGUUGGGGGCGGGUCUUGGAUGACACGCCUCUUCAACAUUGCGUGCCAAAGGAGUGGCAGACCGGGGCGGGUGGCACCUCUCUUCAGAAAGUGAGUCCAAUUACAGUAGUGGAAGUGAGUUAUUAUCAGCCUUCAGCUAUGAGCUCAUGAAGGUGGUAACGUACAUUCAUGCUUUAACACACACACAGACACACACACAGAGGUCUGAAACAUGUGCGAGGUGAUGGGGAUACUGUAGCAAGCACAGAGCGGCAGUAUGAAAAAUACCUGCGUAUCCCAGGGCUUACUACUACUACUACUACUGCCUGAGGAGGAAAGAGUGGUCCCGGGACAGUGGUCCAAGGGGCUUUAAUUGAGUUUAAUUAAUUUUGGGAACUUUUAGAGAUUCAACAAGUCCAAGAAAUGUCAACAGGAGACGUUAGGAAACAUUCCUAGUGUGUAUGGUCACACACACACAUCCAUUAGGCCGGGCCACUUAACGUUAAUGAUUAUUAAUAUAAAUAUUUAUUAGUUAACUAUUACAGCAUUAGCAUAUUAAUAAAUUAACACAGACGAUUAUAUAGUUAUUUUUAAAUUUAAAGAUCAAAUUGAGAUUUACAAAAAUAUUUAACUGCUACUGUGUAAAGGGUAUAAAACUGUCAAAAACACUUUAAUGUUUGCACAAUAAAAGUUUGCAAUACACUACUUUUGAAUUAAUUAUCAAAUUUUGCGCAAAACAAUGUUAUUAAUCGCUAAUAAAAGUUUGAAUUGUUUCCAGCACUAUGUAUAUAUCUAAUGUAUGUGUGUGUAUUCACAUAUAUGUAAAUAUAUCAAACUCAUAUGUACGGCUGGAGGGAAGCAGAGGUUGAACCACGUUCUGCCCAUGUUAGAAAAUUGACACUGGUAUAAAUUCAUCAAACAGGAAGUAUCUUCUUGACACACAAACAACAUUCCUACAAGUCACGCAUCAAGGCUUCUCUCUGGGGCUUAAACAUGUAGAUAACGCAUCUGAAGUGUAGGUCAUCAUGGUCUUCACCUUAGUUCAUUCUACCCAACGAGGUAGAAUGAACUAGAUAAUCCGCGCAUUGACGUGCAGACAUCCGUACUAUCAGCACACCUGGAACACAAUCGCUCUCACAGACUCUCUGACGUCUACGUGAUGUUGACUAAGACAACACGUUAUUUAAGCCCAUAAGCCGUGCUGCAGUGCAGCAGAUGCACCUCCAGCAAGGCGAGGAUCAUCCCAACCGUCAUCACUUCAUCGGACAUUCCAGAUGAAGUGAGUGAGUCACAACGCCUUUAGGCCCAGAUCAGACAUUAUUGGAGGUUAUAGCAGCCUGAGUACGUUAGUAGUUGCCUACCGAUGUUUAUCAGGAAUCAGGAAUCAGGAUCAGGAAUCAGGAAACAUUUAUUUGCCAAAAUAUGCCAAACAUACAAGGAAUUUGUCUUGGCGGUUAGUGCGCGACAGUAGACAGACAAGACAACAGUGCACAGGUAAUAAAAUAAAGUAGAAUGAAAUGCUAAUGCAAUGGGUAAGUAGAAUAAGGCUAUGGGUUUAUAUUUAUAAAAAACCACUGGGAACUCCAAAAGAAUGCUACAUGAUAGGGCGUCUCCAACGACCACAGGGCUACGCGGUAAGCCCCGCCUUUUUAACCUGCCAGACUCGUGUGAUAAAGGCUGUAGCCACGGCUUUCCUCACCACAUCCACACUUCAAAGCGCUCUGCUGACCUCUGAGCACGGAUCAAUGAGGCCAAAAGAGCAUCUGUUUAGAGGAAGAAAAAAA